UACGGAGGGUGCAAGCGUUAUCCGGAUUCACUGGGUUUAAAGCGUGUGUAGGCGGAUGCCUAAGUACCUUGUGAAAUCCCACGGCUCACCCGUGGAACUGCUUGGUAUACUGGGUGUCUUGAGCCACUUAGGGGCUACCGGAACAAAUGGUGGAGCGGUGAAAUGCGUAGAUAUCAUUUGGAACGCCAAUGGUGAAAACAGGUAGCUGGGAGUGUGCUGACGCUGAGACACGAAAGCCAGGGGAGCAAACGGG
rnacentral:rRNA from 1 species